rnacentral:lncRNA from 1 species
GCUCACAGCUUCUAAUUUUUAUUAGAUAUUUUUGUUCAUCCACAUCUAAUCAAUGACACUUAUAGAUGUGGCCUGGCUUUGUAAUCUAAAGAGCUUCCAUGGAAGCUAGGAGUGCAGACUUAAGCAUGUAACAGUAAAAUUUUAAAGCUCAAAAAGCAGCAAAAUAUCAGGAUUACAAGCACAUAUACAUAUAGUAAGGGUCAUACAUACUUUUGUACUCCUAUAAUGUUUAUAUCAACUUAGUUGAUAUUAUGUAAUUGCAGUCUGUAUCAUCAGGUCUGUAAUCACAUACCCUAUUUUUUUCAGCUCGAUAUCUCUGAAUCCCUGAGUGAGUGACCCUUCCCUUGUAUAAUUGUUGGAU